UUUAUGUUAGAUCUUUUAUCCAAUCAUAUUCAGCCAUCGUGUGUUGCCAGGGGGCUAACAUCUGCCCUUAGGCCUUCAGAAUCAACAUUGCGGGCGCUGGUAGCUUCAAGUGAAUGGGAAUGACGAUGUUGUGUCAACCAAUCAGCUUUAGAGUUGGCUCCUCUAGGCCUUCUCGAAGGCCCCGGAACCGGCACAGGAGCAGCUAGCAGGCGUAGUGCUGCACGUCUUUUGAUUGGAUUACCAAUAUUGAGAGGCGGGGCCUAUGGGCAGGUAUAUGCAGAACCUCAGAACUAGGAAACUGAAUUUGAUAAACGAAUUAAUUCGCGUACUACUAAACUGUUUUUUCAACCCACAAUGGCGGAAGGAGGAGAAGAUAUCGAUUUGGUCGAGGAUAUAAUUAUAAGGCCAUUCUCAACGAACUUUAAGACCGACGCCGACGCAACAAAGCCCGUCACAGGCGGGGAAGGGGUUCGUUCGCCACUUUCAAAGUUCCAACUACGAGCGCUACCAACGGCUCACAGGCUCCGAGAAGCUCUGCAGUGUGUGGGCGAGUGAACAGCGGAAUAUUCUACAUGUUUCAGACGUUGACCGGGUGCAAGAGGCUUUUAAAAGAGUUUGAGCGGGACUCCAACCACAAAAGAAUAGACCUGCAACCCAUUUGUAAACAAACCCACCCGGUGAAUCGAGCCCGUCCGAGCUAGAAGAAAAUGUGUUGGAGAUGCAAAUGACGGUGGCCUGAAGGGACAUUUCACACAACAACUCUGCCGGUGUUCUAAUGACAGCGACCAGAACUCGGUGAGGAGCAGCGGCCCAAACACACGUCUGUGUCGCCGUCUCCAACAGCGGCUCGUUGCAGAGUGAGAUGGCAGCUGGGAGGAAGGAGCUCCUGGAGGAUCUGGAUCCGUCUCUCACUGAAAGUGCUCGACCGGGAGGACCCUGUUCUCCACCACCAUGCACCUAAUGGUUCCAGGAUGGUUCCCAGUUAUGAGGUGCCCUUGUCAUUUCAUAAUUUCCUUUUUGAUAUGUGAUAUCUCGAAUGUUUCAUUGAUCUCUUCAGGCCAACAGUAGUACCUGACAAUACUCUGAGCCGGACCUGUUUGUUGCAAAGUAAAAACACAAAUGUACCUUUGUAGUUAUUUUCAAUAGGGUUCUUUAUUUUGUUAUCGUCGGUGCCUCUUCAGUGUUGGUAAGUUCUCUAUGAUCAUUUUGAAAUAAGCACCCGCAGUGUUAUACAAAUGAUAUUAAUUAAAUUCCCUGUUUCCCCCCUUAUAUUACAGGCAUGUUUUGUUCCCUUGCACCUACAUCUGUCUAUAAUAAUGCAUAAAUUACUUUAUGUUCUGGUACGCGAUCAGUAAAGAUAACAAUUGUUUAUGAGUAUAUUUGAAUAAAAUUGGGAACAAUCAUA